rnacentral:rRNA from 1 species
AUUGAACGCUGGCGGAAAUGCUUUACACAUGCAAGUCGAGCGGCAGCGCGGGGCAACCUGGCGGCGAGCGGCGAACGGGUGAGUAAUGCAUCGGAACAUGUCCAUGUCGUGGGGGAUAGCCCGGCGAAAGCCGGAUUAAUACCGCAUACGCCCGAGAGGGGAAAGUGGGGGACCGCAAGGCCUCACGCGAUUGGGUUGGCCGAUGUCCGAUUAGCUAGUUGGUGGGGUAAAGGCUUACCAAGGCGAUGAUCGGUAGCUGGUCUGAGAGGAUGAUCAGCCACACUGGGACUGAGACACGGCCCAGACUCCUACGGGAGGCAGCAGUGGGGAAUUUUGGACAAUGGGGGCAACCCUGAUCCAGCCAUUCCGCGUGAGUGAAGAAGGCCUUCGGGUUGUAAAGCUCUUUUGUCCGGAACGAAACGGUGAACGUGAAUAUCGUUCGCUACUGAC